GUCGUUGGCCAUAGCACCCUGAACGUGCCCAGUCUCGUCUGAUCUUGGAAGCUAAGCAGGGUUGGGCCUGGUUAGUACUUGGAUGGGAGGAAAACAAGGGUAAUAGUUU
rnacentral:rRNA from 1 species